CCUGCUGCGUGGCCGGCAUGUAAGAGUCUAGCACAGACAGCUGUGUACAGUACAUAGUACUUGAGAAUGAUCAUCAACAAUUAUGGUCCUGGUUUAUGUAUUUACCACACUGAAAACAAAGGUUGUGGUGAGGUCAGGGGUAUGGGUCAGAAGCCCAGAAACCUGUUAGGUAGAGGGGAGGAAAACGUGGGGAAGGAGAAUAGGCAGAACUAUCAAGCUCGGCCUUGGAUAAAGGAUUAGGAAGAAAAUGCAGGAUCCCAGGUGCCGGGGCUAGUGCGGAAGCCAGGCAGGGGCUGGGAGGGGCAGGAACACCUUCAACAAAUGCCUACCGACCCCUGCUCAGCCCCACAGGACCAAAGGCCGCUGUAGGCGAUGAUCAUCCCCAAUCACGGCCCUCGACCGGAGCGCACUUCCCCGCAUCUGGAGCCAUCUGCAUCUGUCUCCUUUGCAGUCUGCCGGUAAUUGGGUCUGAAAUCACACGCGUCCCACUCAGCUACAUUUACAUUUCCUUCUUGCGCUGUUUUUAUAUCCAGAGCUGUUGAAACCACUCCUAGGAUGAAUUUCUAAACUUAGACCAUCUCAUCCUCAAACGGCAAGAAAGAAAGUGUGAUGUGUCUGUGAAUCUGCUGAAUGGGCCGAGGGGUGUUUUUAAAAGAUCAUAUUGCGGGGAAGAAGCAGGCACUGCAGAAACCUAUGGAUUGGGGUGCUAAAACCUACGAGCUUCCCAGGAAGCUGCCUUUUGGGAGCCCGAACUAUCCCAGAACUUUUUCCUAGUAGCAGAUCACAAUCACCGUCUCUUCUGUGAGCCCGCUUCAAGCCAGCAAUGAAAGGACACUUCUGCACGCCAGCAGUAAGAGUAGGAAACCCCACUCUCCCUACAACAUAAGGGCUACACAUUUGAGAUCCUCUCAGAGGACUUUUUAAAAAAAUAACAUCUUUCAUUUAUGCUUGAGCAGGGAGAAGAGUCAUUAAAAAGAAGAGAUUUUUAAAAUCCCUGUCCAAUGCUUUUGGCCAGCCAGCCGCUCAGGACAAAGGGCUGCCUGGUUUGGGGACCUAAUUAUCCGGAGGCCAAGGCGCGGCUGCGGGUGAUGGGGCUGCCGAUUCCGCCGCGAGCACAGUCCGCCUCAUUGUUGGUGAAUUUCCUGCUCUUGGCACUUUCUUUGGCAGCCUCAUGGCCAGCACCUGUGCACUCAGACCUGGGGCCUGGGACGUCUACACAGAUGUCACGGCGCUUUUGUUGAUUUCCUAUUAGUGGCACUUAAUAGGCAGGCGCUGGGGACAGCUUGGCUCGGCUCCGGGGAGGGGCCGCAAACAUCGCUCCCUUGGUGGGCGAAGGGUCAAAUGGUUUCUAAAGCUCGGCCAGAUAAUUGCUGGUGAUUAGCAAUUUUAAUUAGCAGGUGCGAGGGGUCGGGACCCCCUUCCCUGUAAUUGGACAGGUUGUUAACAUUCGUGGAGUUGUGACCAGGGAGUAUAUUUUACUAAUACUCUCCAGCUCUUUUAAAGUUAAUUAAAUUAAAGGAGCUAAAACCACCAGAGACGGCCUGAGAUCUGAUGAGCCAGAUAGGAAAAGUUUUCAGUAAAACUUGUCUCACUGGAAAAAAAAAGAAAAAAAAAAAAAAAACUUCAAACACAGCCAUGAAUCCCUUGUGAACGCCGCGUGGCCCCGUGCGUGUUCUUCUGUGGCUGCGGAAGGCUGGGGCCGUGAACGUGUUUUCUCUGCCGGGUGCCUCACGUUGGGACUCGGCCCGUCGGGGUCCGGCUCUUCUGUUCCGCGCACUGACUCUUAGGGGCUUUGUUCGGUCACAGCGAGCAGAAAACCAGCGUCUCCCCGGUGCAGCCUUGGAAGGGGCUGGACACCCGCUCAUGGCCACAGAGGGCAGCUUCCGGGCGACGCUCCAGCUCUGCCUCUCGGACUCCUCACGGACACAGGCGUGUGUUUGAAACGGAUCGAUGUCCCCCCGGUUCCUUUCACAGACACCAGAAAGCCCGCGAACACACCUCACAGGCUCCGAAGUCUCACUCUGAUCUUGGCUCACUGCAACCUCUGCCUCCUGAGUUCAACUGAUUCUCCUGCCUCAGCCUCACCAGUAGCUGGGAUUACAGAUGCCCAUCACCAUGCCCGGCUAAUUUUGUAUUUUUAAUAGAGACAGGGUUUUGCCAUGUUGGCCAGGCUGGUCUCGAACUCCUGACCUCAAGCGAUCCACCUGCCUCGGCCUCUGGGAUUACAGAUGUGAGCCAUCGCACCUGUGCGUGAAGGUUUUCUAACCUUCUAUCAGAUUUUCUAACCUCCCCAAGCCACAGGAUGAGAAAAGUGUGCGAUGCUCCCGCCUGAGGAAGCCAGCCCAG
rnacentral:lncRNA from 1 species